rnacentral:rRNA from 1 species
UGUAUGGGGAUCUGCCCGAUAGAGGGGGAUAACUACUGGAAACGGUGGCUAAUACCGCAUAAUCUCUUAGGAGCAAAGCAGGGGACCUUCGGGCCUUGCGCUGUCGGAUGAACCCAUAUGGGAUUAGCUAGUAGGUAAGGUAAUGGCUUACCUAGGCGACGAUCCCUAGCUGGUCUGAGAGGAUGAUCAGCCACACUGGGACUGAGACACGGCCCAGACUCCUACGGGAGGCAGCAGUGGGGAAUAUUGCACAAUGGGCGCAAGCCUGAUGCACCCAUGCCGCGUGUAUGA